rnacentral:rRNA from 1 species
AAGGUCAGGCUGUGAUGGGGAGCGAAAAUUACAGUAGCGAAGGUCAUGAUCUCACACUGCCAAGAAAAGCCUCUAGCCAGGAAGCAGGUGCCCGUACCGUAAACCGACACAGGUAGGUGAGAAGAGAAUUCUAAGGCGCGCGGAAGAACUCUCGUUAAGGAACUCGGCAAAAUGACCCCGUAACUUCGGGAGAAGGGGUGCCCCGGUAGUGUGAAUAGCACGAGGGGGCCGCAGUGAAAAGGCCCAAGCGACUGUUUAGCAAAAACACAGGUCUGUGCGAAGCCGCAAGGCGAAGUAUACGGGCUGACGCCUGCCCGGUGCUGGAAGGUUAAGGGGAGUGGUUAGCGCAAGCGAAGCUAUGAACCGAAGCCCCAGUAAACGGCGGCCGUAACUAUAACGGUCCUAAGGUAGCGAAAUUCCUUGUCAGGUAAAUUCUGACCCGCACGAAUGGCGUAACGAUUUGGGCGCUGUCUCAACGAGAGAUCCGGUGAAAUUUUAAUACCUGUGAAGAUGCAGGUUACCCGCGACAAGACGGAAAGACCCCAUGGAGCUUUACUGCAGCUUGAUAUUGAACUGGGGUGCGAUUUGUACAGGAUAGGUGGGAGCCUAGGAAGAGGGAGCGCAAGCUUCCUUGGAGGCGCCGUUGGGAUACCACCCUGAUCGCAUCUGAGUUCUAACCUGGUACCGUGAUCCGGUACGGGGACCGUGUCAGGUGGGCAGUUUGACUGGGGCGGUCGCCUCCUAAAAUGUAACGGAGGCGCCCUAAGGUUCCCUCAGAAUGGUUGGAAAUCAUUCGAAGAGUGCAAAGGCAAAAGGGAGCUUGACUGCGAGACCUACAAGUCGAGCAGGGACGAAAGUCGGGCUUAGUGAUCCGGUGGUACCGCAUGGAAGGGCCAUCGCUCAACGGAUAAAAGCUACCCUGGGGAUAACAGGCUUAUCUCCCCCAAGAGUCCACAUCGACGGGGAGGUUUGGCACCUCGAUGUCGGCUCAUCGCAUCCUGGGGCUGAAGUAGGUCCCAAGGGUUGGGCUGUUCGCCCAUUAAAGCGGUACGCGAGCUGGGUUCAGAACGUCGUGAGACAGUUCGGUCCCUAUCUGUCGUGGGCGUAGGAAAUUUGAGAGGAGCUGUCCUUAGUACGAGAGGACCGGGAUGGACGCACCGCUGGUGUACCAGUUGUUCCGCCAGGAGCAUCGCUGGGUAGCUACGUGCGGAAGGGAUAAGCGCUGAAAGCAUCUAAGCGUGAAGCCCCCCUCAAGAUGAGAUUUCCCAGUAUGUAAGACCCCUUGAAGACGACGAGGUAGAUAGGUUGGAGGUGGAAGUG